rnacentral:lncRNA from 1 species
CCCAGGGCGGGCGAAACACUAGUGCUCAAGUGCGCAAAGUGCAAGCUUCGAGGAAGCUCCCGUGAAUAAAAACAGCAAAACCGGAGCAGCGACCCUACUCACAAAGCGAACAGUCCCAGCCCACACGGCGACGCCAAGCCCAGAUAACGCAGGAAAGGAGUACUUACAGCCGGCGUGCGUUUGGUAUUGGGAAUCGAACUCGGAUCUUUGCUCUUGCGAGGCAGGUGGCAGAACCACUGAGUACCGGGGAUUGAACGCAGCAGGACCUUUUGCUUACAAGACAAGCGCAGUGCCACUGAGCUAAAUCCCCAGCCCACGCAUUGUUUUUGAUGAGAUUAUUUGUCAUUUUGUCCUCCAUCUUCUUCAGAUAAAUACUACCACCAUUUAUUAUCAGCUUCAGUUCUAAUACAAGAAGGCACCAGGAGAGAACCAUUUCAGGACAAGAAAGGGCCAAGAACAGCCUGGUGUUCUUUGACUAUGGAAAGAAAGUGACUACGGAAUCAGCCACUGGAUUGCAAAUGUGUCGUACCCAUGCAGAAGAGGAUUAAUAAAAUAAUUAAUUUUUUUAUGUAGUUCAGUUCAAUGUAUUUAUUUGAAAAUAAGAUUAAAUAAUCUUUUGAUGCAGACAGUUUCAUUGGUAUUUAUUCAUUCAUCCAGUGUGAGCAGAGUGUCUGUGGCACAGCCGAUACUUGAUCAGACACUGAGGUAU